rnacentral:rRNA from 1 species
CCCAAAUACCAUACCAGCUUUUCAAAGACUGAUCUCAUCAGAUCUCAGUAGCUAAGCAAGGCUGGGCCUGGUUAGUACUUUGAUGGAAUACCAAGUGCCACAGUGGGGCGCCAGUGGCA